rnacentral:misc_RNA from 1 species
GAUGAAGAACGCAGCGAAAUGCGAUACGUAAUGUGAAUUGCAGAAUUCAGUGAAUCAUCGAAUCUUUGAACGCAUAUUGCGCUCUCUGGUAUUCCGGAGAGCAUGCUUGUUUGAGUAUCAGUAAACACCUCAACUUCCAUAUCUUUUUUGAUAUGGGAGUUGGACUUGAGUGAUCCCAACGCUUUUCCUCACCGAAAAGUGGCGGGUUACUUGAAAUGCAGGUGCAGCUGGACUUUUCUCUGAGCUAUAAGCAUAUCUAUUUAGUCUGCCUAAAAAACAGAUUAUUACCUUUGCUGCAGCUAACAUAAAGGAGAUUAGUUCUUGUGCUGACUGAUGCAGGAUUCACAAAGACGGCUUCGGCCGACUUUGUAAACUCGAUCUCAAAUCAAGUAAGACUACCCGCUGAACUUAAGCAUAUCAAUAAGCGGAGGA